UUCCUGCUUUGGUAGGACAUAUACUAAACUUGGAAUGAUGCAGCAGGACCCCUGCUCAAGGAUGACAUGCAAGUUUGUGAGGCAUGCUGAAUUUGC
ensembl:snRNA U6 U6 spliceosomal RNA